GACGAACGCUGGCGGCGUGCUUAACACAUGCAAGUCGAACGGCAAGGCCCUGCUUUUGUGGUGUGCUCGAGUGGCGAACGGGUGCGUAACACGUGAGUAACCUGCCCUUGACUUUGGGAUAACUUCAGGAAACUGGGGCUAAUACCGGAUAGGAGAUCCUGCUGCAUGGUGGGGGUUGGAAAGUUUCGGCGGUCGGGGAUGGACUCGCGGCUUAUCAGCUUGUUGGUGGGGUAGUGGCUUACCAAGGCUUUGACGGGUAGGCGGCCUGAGAGGGUGACCGGCCACAUGGGGACUGAGAUACGGACCAGACUCCUACGGGAGGCAGCAGUGGGGAAUAUUGCACAAUGGGCGGAAGCCUGAUGCAGCAACGCCGCGUGCGGGAUGACGGCCUUCGGGUUGUAAACCGCUGUCGCCUGUGACGAAGCGGGAGUGACGGUAAUGGGUAAAGAAGCACCGGCUAACUACGUG
rnacentral:rRNA from 1 species